CGCGGAGUUUCCGGCGGUGGCGGCGCGCGGCGGCGAAGAAGGAAGGCAGCGCGCGUCGCGGGCGCCUUCCAAACGGGGAAGAAGCCCCUGACAGGCGCGGCGCGGUGAGCGACGGGGCCGGCUGGUUUGUGGCGCGCGCGAGGGAUUGGGCCGGUUCGGCCCAAAGUGGCCGGGCCGGUCCGGUUUCCUCUUUUUUUUUAGCCUUUUCUUUUUCUGUUUUUCUUAUUUCCUUGAUAUCUUUUGAUUUUGAACUCCAAAUUGGUCCAGAUAAAUUCCAGAAAAUUUGAAAAAUCAUGUUCUACCAUGACACAACUUUUGGAAGUAGUUUCUCUUCAAAAUAAAAUAUAUAAAAAUACAUUCGCCCUAUAAAUGCCUUUAGGGCCAUAUAUCUAUUUAAAUAAAAUACUUUUUCAACUCCAAAUAAUUAUCCAAAAAUUAUGGGAUAGCUUAUAUAUGCACU
rnacentral:lncRNA from 1 species